rnacentral:rRNA from 1 species
GUCUUUUUGAUUAUAAUUUAAAGUCUAACCUGCCCAAUGAAUUAUUCAAUGGCCGCAGUAUUUUAACUGUGCAAAGGUAGCAUAAUAAUUAGUUUUUUAAUUGAGAACUGGUAUGAAUGGUUGGACGAGAGAAAAGCUGUCUCAAUCUAAAUUUAAUUAGAAUUUUAUUUUUAAGUUAAAAAGCUUAAAUAAAUUUAAAAGACGAGAAGACCCUAUAGAGUUUAAUAUUAUUUUAAUAUUUAUUUUAUAAAGUAUUUAAUUUAAUUUAUUUUAAAAUAGUAUUUAAUUGGGGUGAUUAAAAAAUUAAAAAAACUUAUUUUUUAUUAUAACAUUAAUUUAUGAUUAUAUGAUCCAUAUUUUUUGAUUAAAAGAUUAAAUUACCUUAGGGAUAACAGCGUAAUUUUUUUUUAAAGUUCUUAUUGAAAAAAAAGUUUGCGACCUCGAUGUUGGAUUUAAAA